UACAGAGGUCUCAAGCGUUGUUCGGAUUCAUUGGGCGUAAAGGGUGCGCAGGCGGUUCUGCAAGUCAGGCGUGAAAUCCCCGGGCUUAACCUGGGAAUGGCGCUUGAAACUACGGGACUCGAGUAUGGCAGAGGGAGGUGGAAUUCCACGUGUAGCGGUGAAAUGCGUAGAGAUGUGGAGGAACACCGAUGGCGAAGGCAGCCUCCUGGGCCAAUACUGACGCUCAUGCACGAAAGCGUGGGGAGCAAACAGG
rnacentral:rRNA from 1 species